UGGGUUGUAGCUCAGUUGGUAAAGCAUUUACUUAGUAGUAGGUUCUGGGUUCAAUUCUCAGCACCACAU
rnacentral:tRNA from 1 species